rnacentral:lncRNA from 1 species
CUUGCAUUUGGCAUGAUGGUUGAUAUGAAGAAAGCACAAGUUGUAACUGAUGAAGCAUAGUCUCAUGAGAUUGAUCUUUCAACCCUAUAGAUUUGGAUUCAUAACUAUCAUCAAUUAGUAGCAGAAGAAAUAGAUUUAAGAGAAUCAUUAAACAUAGGUUUCCAAAUUUUAGCCACAUCAAACCUUUGCCGAGGUAGAGACUUUGAUGAUCCUAGAUUAUCAUGCCCAUUGGCUGGAGUUUCUAC